GACGAACGCUGGCGGCGUGCUUAACACAUGCAAGUCGAACGGAAAGGCCCUGCUUUUGUGGGGUGCUCGAGUGGCGAACGGGUGAGUAACACGUGAGUAACCUGCCCUUGACUUUGGGAUAACUUCAGGAAACUGGGGCUAAUACCGGAUAGGAGCUCCUGCUGCAUGGUGGGGGUUGGAAAGUUUCGGCGGUUGGGGAUGGACUCGCGGCUUAUCAGCUUGUUGGUGGGGUAGUGGCUUACCAAGGCUUUGACGGGUAGCCGGCCUGAGGGGGUGACCGGCCACAUUGGGACUGAGAUACGGCCCAGACUCCUACGGGAGGCAGCAGUGGGGAAUAUUGCACAAUGGGCGGAAGCCUGAUGCAGCGACGCCGCGUGCGGGAUGACGGCCUUCGGGUUGUAAACCGCUUUCGCCUGUGACGAAGCGUGAGUGACGGUAAUGGGUAAAGAAGCACCGGCUAACUACGUGCCAGCAGCCGCGGUGAUACGUAGGGUGCGAGCGUUGUCCGGAUUUAUUGGGCGUAAAGGGCUCGUAGGUGGUUGAUCGCGUCGGAAGUGUAAUCUUGGGGCUUAACCCUGAGCGUGCUUUCGAUACGGGUUGACUUGAGGAAGGUAGGGGAGAAUGGAAUUCCUGGUGGAGCGGUGGAAUGCGCAGAUAUCAGGAGGAACACCAGUGGCGAAGGCGGUUCUCUGGGCCUUUCCUGACGCUGAGGAGCGAAAGCGUGGGGAGCGAACAGGCUUAGAUACCCUGGUAGUCCACGCUGUAAACGGUGGGUACUAGGUGUGGGGUCCAUUCCACGGGUUCCGUGCCGUAGCUAACGCUUUAAGUACCCCGCCUGGGGAGUACGGCCGCAAGGCUAAAACUCAAAGGAAUUGACGGGGCCCCGCACAAGCGGCGGAGCAUGCGGAUUAAUUCGAUGCAACGCGUAGAACCUUACCUGGGUUUGACAUGGAUCGGGAGUGCUCAGAGAUGGGUGUGCCUCUUUUGGGGUCGGUUCACAGGUGGUGCAUGGCUGUCGUCAGCUCGUGUCGUGAGAUGUUGGGUUAAGUCCCGCAACGAGCGCAACCCUUGUUCACUGUUGCCAGCACGUUAUGGUGGGGACUCAGUGGAGACCGCCGGGGUCAACUCGGAGGAAGGUGGGGAUGACGUCAAGUCAUCAUGCCCCUUAUGUCCAGGGCUUCACGCAUGCUACAAUGGCUGGUACAGAGAGUGGCGAGCCUGUGAGGGUGAGCGAAUCUCGGAAAGCCGGUCUCAGUUCGGAUUGGGGUCUGCAACUCGACCUCAUGAAGUCGGAGUCGCUAGUAAUCGCAGAUCAGCAACGCUGCGGUGAAUACGUUCCCGGGGCUUGUACACACCGCCCGUCAAGUCAUGAAAGUUGGUAACACCCGAAGCCGGUGGCCUAACCGUUGUGGGGGAGCCGUCGAAGGUGGGACUGGUGAUUAGGACU
rnacentral:rRNA from 1 species